rnacentral:rRNA from 1 species
UACGUAGGGAGCAAGCGUUGUCCGGAAUCAUUGGGCGUAAAGCGCGCGUAGGCGGCUCGGAAAGUCGGUCGUGAAAUGCCGGGGCUCAACCCCGGGACUGCGUCCGAUACUCCCGAGCUGGAGUACGGUAGGGGCAGAGGGAAUUUCCGGUGGAGCGGUGAAAUGCAUUGAGAUCGGAAAGAACACCAACGGCGAAAGCACUCUGCUGGGCCGACACUGACACUGAGAGACGAAAGCUAGGGGAGCAAAUGGG